GCAAUUUUCUCUACUAGAGUAUUCUUUUCUUUGCUAAGGUUCUCUAUGGUUUCCUUCAAGUCAACAACAACUACCAUCAAAUCAUCUCUAGAUUGUUCAACAUCUCCUAGCUCUAUGAUUAGGGCAUCUUUAUCAUUAAUAAAACUAUAAUAUAUAUCAAUUAGAACAUUUGCUAAUGCCAUCAGUUUUUUCGAAGAGUAGGACUUCAGAUUUGUAUGACCAUCCCUAAAAUUUACCUCAUCAUUAUCAUCCUCAUCAGACUGAGCCAUCAACGCAAACAAUGAAUCAUAUUCCUUUGCUUCAUUUUUUACUGCCAUCAUGGAGCCGCUUCCUGUAUCUGGUUCCUAUUCUAAUUCAUUGGAGGAAUCUUCCGAUACAGCAAGAGCUUGCUUCACAACAUUAUCUGUUGUACUUUUGCAGCUGAUCGUUUGUCAGGAACCGGGUUCCUUUUUGCUACUUUGUCAGAGUUGUGUUUUUAAUGCUCUUGUUUCAGAAAUGGGCAGUCUUUGAUGAAAUGCCCUUGUUUUCCGCACUUGUGACAACAAUCGUAUCCUUUAGUGUUUCUACUAGAACUACCCUUCUUGGGAGUGCCUCUAUUUCUACGAACCAUUUUCUGAAAUCUUUGUGGUAUAUUGGUUGAUUGAUUUUCCUCAAAGUUUGGUGGAGCAGCCAUGUAGAUCAUUUCUAGGUGUUAACCUUUUAGAAAGAACCCGCUCUGAUACCAAUUGUUUGAAACUAAGCGUCCACCAGAAUGUAUAGAGAACCAGAUCCUCUAUCAGUUCCUACUGUAAGCAAUAGACUGUAAAACCAACCAAUAUAGGGAAUCAGGUUCUCUAAUUGUUCCCACUGUAGCUCGGUAGUAAAUAAAGAAUAUAGAGAAUUUUUAUGUGAAAAAAUCCCAAAUCAAGGGGACAAAAACCAUGACCUACACUUGUAAGCUUUCAAUUUCACUAACUUAUAAACACCUAUUACAAGCCACUUUGUAAUGACUCCACUACAAAGAAUUCAACUCAACUAACUUGUGGUACUCUCACCACAAGUCACUUUGUCACUCUCUAGUUACAAAGACUUUAACUAACUUAUGGUACUCUUAUCACAAUCCACUUUGUCACUCUCUAGUUACAAAGACUUUAACUAACUUGUAACAACACUAUUACAAGCCACUUUGUAAUAACUCUAUUACAAAGACUUCACAACUCGACUAACUCUAGCCAAGACACAAACUUAGAGGGUUUGUGAUUUUGGAUUUCCUAAAACAUAACUUCUAAGAAAGCAAGAUAAGAGUUACAAAUGAAGAACAAAUAACAAAGACUCAACAAACCUAAGGACUUAAGAUAUCUUCAAUCUUGGAUUCGAUCCUUGAGGUUGCAGCAGCUUUGUUCUUGAGAGAGGUUGUAGCAAGCCCUUGAGAGAAUAUCUUCUUUUUAAUUUUGCAAGUGUUUAAGAGAAUGUCUUUUGCCUUGCACCAGGUUUAUACUACAAAAGACAUCACCAUGGUGAUGUCAAUUCAUAAUGGAGAUGUCAAUUCUUGGUUAGUACAUGCCUCUUCCUAAUGGGAAGUGACUGAUGCAUUGUCUGUUGAACUGUCACGUGUACUGUUGCAUGUAGUCACUUUAUGCAGUUGCUUUCCAACUGCAUAGUUGACUUAUACUUCUGUUGGGGGAACACCAAGGGAUCAGGUCCCUAAUCUGGUUCUUGUGAAUCUAAAGGCACACUACCCAGAUUAUCUUGAGUCGAUUAACUUGAAUGAUUGUACCAGGCAUGCUUCAGGUCCUUUAUCUGGUUCUCUCAUGAAGUAUGUUGUUUUACCUUCCUUGAUUUUAUGUAUACGUGUGUGACAUCACUUAAAAUGAUGUAAGCAAGGUAGGUAAAAAGCCUUCCAUAGAAAGUUGACUGUUGCACUGCUCCUGUAUAGUGGUGUGUGCAGGCAUCAACUUUCCUUCUUGAAAAUUGACUUCAUACAGUCUUUUCGGGAACUGGUAGGGACCUGUUCCCUCAACUGUUCCUUCCACUUUGAAGAGUUGAGUUAUAUCCCACGCUAGAUCCCUACCUGGAACUUUGUGAUCUCAAGAUCUUGUAAAUAUGUAACAGGUACUUUAUCUAAUUCUGGAUGGUAAGUUUGUCAGAUCAUCAAAACAUAAAGUAAAGUACUUAUGCCCAAGAUACUUGUAACCCAUCAAUUUCUUUAUUUUUGAUGAUGACAAACUUAGAAUUGAUAUUCCCCGCGAGAACCAAAUCUAUACAUUGUCCCCCCUAUGAAUCAACCAUAUUCCCUAUGAGAACCAAACCUAAGGAGUUGAUCACAACUAGUUCCUCAAGACUGUUUGGAAAAUCAUCAAAACUCAAAGUACCAUAACUUAUCAAUUUCCCCCUUUUUGAUGAAUGGCAAACCCAAAAUUAUUCCCCCUGAGAAUCAAAUUCCUUACCUACACUGAUCACAUCUGGUUUGUACCCAGUUCGUUGAGAACGUUUGUCAUCAUCAAAACAUGACAUAGUGUAACUUAGAAUAAUUUCCCCCUUUUUGAUGAGGACAAAACCGAAAUUAAUAUUCCUCUUGAGAACCAGAAUCCUCACAUGUUUCCCUGUGGAUCAGACCUAUAAUCAACAUAUUAUUAGCAACAUUCCCCAUGCAAAGCAGAGCUAUAUUUCAUGCAUAACACAACAUAUCAAUUCGAUUCUGUUCCUUCCCCAUGUUGACACCUAUAUAACUUCCCCCUUUUGUCAUCAUCGAAAAGAAUAACAGAAGAAGCACAACCAAAAAGAAGUUCAGCAACAUUAACUCAUGCCACUUGGGCAACACAGCAUAAACAAUAACAAAAACAACAAGUAAAUGUCAUUGCACAAAAUAGAGUGAUUGCCCAUAGUGGACUAAUUAUAAUAAAAGCACAGUAGUUUCAACAAUACAUACUAUGACAAUUUAAACAACUAAAGUACCAAUGUCAUCAAAUAUAGGAUCAAAAGAAGAUAAGAAUUCAAGGGAAUUUGGAAGGAGUGAAAGACAUAGAUCACUAGGUAGGAGGAAAAGUAAGGGGCUAAGGAAUGGACAAGCUCAUCUGCUCUCUCAAUUUCUCCACUUGUUUCCUCAAACUUUCAUUCUCACCCUUCAACUUAGCAUUCCAUUCUGCCAAGGGUCCACGAGGACCCAGUUCUCAACCUAUCUGAGUAGGCUGAACCAUCAAUCAGAGCACCAAGAAUCUCCCUAAGCUUCUUCUCAUCAAGAACAAACUCAGUCCCAUGCACAUAUAGCAUCAGAGUAUCACAUAAAACAUAGAAGUUUUUACUUCUUCUUCAUAAACGUUGGGACUUGGAGGAACAAAGAGGUGAUUCUAUUUUUGGAACUCAACAAUGUCAAGAAGUUCCUCCAUUUUUCAGCAAUAUCAGAGUUAACACUCUGCCUAACAACACUUUUUUGAGACUUCAGAGUCUUUUACCUCUGCAAACCCGAUAACUCAACCCUUUGCUUUUGUAAGGAACCAGGUUCCUCAUUUACACUACUCUUUCUAUCCUGAGCAGUCAUGUCUCCCUCUUUUUCUUCUUAAUCUGUUUACCCUUAUCAUUUGCUGCAUCUUUCUCAGUCAACUUUCUUUUCCCAUUUUUUUAAUUCUCUCUUUCACAAUCACACCAGCAAGUCACACGACUUCAUCAUCAAUCAACCUACUUUUCAUCAAUCCUUUUUACUGGAUCUGAAGUUCGUUUAAACACAGAACUCAAAAAAGAAAAAGAUCAUCAUUAAAAUUGACUUCCUGAGAAGGACCUGAGGGAUCAGGUCCCUCAUUCAGUUCUCACAUUUACCAAUUUCUCCAUCUUUCAAGACUUCCACAAAUCCAACAACAAUUUCAGCCUCACGCUCUAGAAUAUUAGAUCUACCUUGUUCCCUUUCAGUUAAACAUCCAUCAAAAUCUACUAAAGACUUCAUGGGGUUUCGAUUCAGAUGGAGUUAGGAUUUUGGAAAGUGACAGAGUUGGGUUCACUUCUGGCGUAUUUGGAGAGAAGGAUUCUUUGGAGACAAGGUUGAUUUUGGUUUUGAAGAAAAGAAUCGGUUUUGGUUGGGUGUAGGAUAGAGAAGUGAUUUUUUGGGGCAACAGGUCAGUUCAGAAAGGUUUAACAUUUUGGACUUCAAAAGUUAGGAGGAGAGACAGGAGAAAAGCAGAAACAAAUUAAUGACAUGACACUUCAUCAACUUAAGAAGGCAUAUAAGUAUUGAAGAGAAUACUAACCUGAGUCAUAGGAACCAGGUUUCUUGACGGUUUUUGAAAAUUUUGAGCAAAAACUCCUAGAAGUGCAAUGUCACUCUUACUUGUUUUUGUCCUGAAACUGCCAUAUGUGUAUACCUAUAACAGUAUAGAUUUGAGUUAGAUGUCGCCGAAAAAUACUUUUUAGUAUUGUACCUUUCCUUCUUAACAUAGCCAAUCAUCGAGGGACCAGGUCUUUAGUUGAGCUUGAUCAACCCCAACUCCAGACGAUCUCUUUCAAAGUGUUCAUUGCCAGCGCCUUGGUGAAGAUGUCUACUACCUAGUCCUCCGUCUUCCAGAACUUCAUACAAAUCAGAACGUUUUCAACAUUAUCCCUCAAAAAGUGAUGAGCACAUCAAUGCACUUUGUCCUCUUGUGUUGUACCGGGUUCAAGGUAUAAAUACACUAAAGUUUUCAAUAUGUUUCUUGAUCCGUAGAGUUGAGCACAACAAGAAGCAACAACCAUAUAUUCAGCUUCAGCAGUAGAAAGAGCCACACAGUUUAUUUCUUUGUACCCCAUGAGAUCAAGCAUGACCCCAGAAAAAUGUGCCAUUCUAGAAGUGUUUUUUUCUGUCCACCAGAUAUUCAACAUAAUCAGCAUCAACAACCCUAUGUUCAGCUCAAGUCGAGGUGAUACAGGGACCAGGUUCCUCUAUGCCUUUUGGAGAUUCUACUGCAUCUCCUUCAUCCUUUUGCUUGACUUGACUCAUCAAAUCAGUCUUUCUAUUUGCAAUAUCUAUAGCUUCACCAGGAGCAUUUAUGAAUUCUUCAUCUUCAUCUUCUUUGUUAUAUGACCCUUUUUCCACCAUUGUUGAGAACAAAACAUUUUGCAUCCAAAGGCUCUCGGGUAGGUCAACUUGGCUUUUUUUCCUUCCUAUUGAGCAGUUCAUAUAGAGACUUCUCGAGAAGGGAUCUGAUCAUGCAUUUGUUAAUAGAGUAGCAAGCAGUGUUGACUGCUUCAGCCCAUGAACCAGGUCCUCCAUAACCAACUUGUUCAACAAGUAGAAACUCACAUGCCUAGUCAUCUUCACCAUAACUCAACAUCAUCAUCAAUGACUCUUAGGCAUGUUAGAUCAUCACCAUGUAGAGACUUAAAAUCUACAUCAGCCUAUCCUAUUAAGUCAAGGUUAUCCCCUGAAGGAUAGUAGAAAACCAGGUCCUGCAUCCCUUUGAGAUAUCUUAAGAUUCUCUUGGCAGCUUUCAGAUGAGAUUCCCUUGGAUUGGAUUGAAACUUAGCACAAAAACCCACACUAAAAACAAUAUCUAGUCUGCUACAGAAGUGACCCUAUGAUACCUCUAUACAUGAUCUGAUUUAUAGGGGAACCAGGUUCAUCCAUUCUGGACAAGUAGCUGUGGCGAUGGGAGUGUCUAUGAUUUUUGAUGUCUUUAUGUCAAAUCUCUUCAGCAGCUUCUUGAUGUACUUAUGUUGUCUUAUCAUUAUCCCCCUUGGGAGUUUACUUCACUUGUAAAUCUAAGAAGAGAUUCAGUUCCCCCAUCGUACUCAUUUCUAACUCACUUCCCAUGAGUUAUGCAAAUUUUUCUCAUUGAGAAUCAACUGUUUCUCCAAAGAUGAUGCCAUCAACAUAGAUCUGCACAAUAAGUAGGUUCCUUCCUCGAUUCUUCAGAAAAAGAGUGUUGCCAAUUUUUCCUCUUGUAAAUCAAUUUUCUAGAAGGAAUUUUGACAACCUUUCACACCAAGCAUGGGGAGCCUGGCUCCUAUAACAGUUCUAUCAGCAAGUCGUGGAACCAAGUUCCACACAUUGUUCCUCUCAAGUUGACGGAGCUCUUCUUGCAUAGCUGUAAUCCAGUCAGCAUCUUUCAAUGCUUCCUUGAUAUUCUUAGGCUCUAUUUGAGAUAGAAAGGCUGAGAAGGCAAGUAAGUUUCUUGUCUUUGAUCUGGUUUGGAUUCCUCAGCAGCUGGAGUCUUAUGUACCGCAUCCACAACUCUGUUUUCUGCUUCAGAUAUUGUGAUUGAGGGACCAGGUUCCUUUAUGUCGGUUGGAAUCUCAUCUUCAAUUCUCUUUCAUCCUCUACAUGGCAUCCUCAUUGGUCCACAUAGAUCCACAUGGAGGAUAUCAAGUGGGCUUGAAAGAGGAUCUGACUUGCUUUCCUUUUACAAAUGUAUCACACACCCUGUGAUCCUUGAAGCUUGACUUGAGCAGACCACGAACCAAGUCCUUUUUGACUAAUUUGUUCAGUAGCAUGAAACUUGCAUGACCCAACCUUCUGUGCCAUAGCUCAGCAUUAUCAUUAACAACACUCAGAAAGCUAAGAUCUCCUUGUCACAGAUUUGGGGAAAAACCCAACAAGUUAUACUUCAACCCCUUCACGAAGUACGCUUGUUCAAUAGAGUGGGAAAGAGACUUUUCGAUCCUUCCAACUCCCAGAAUGUAUCCCUUCUUGCCAUUUUCAAAGGAUACACUCCCUUCUUGCAGGGACUUUAGUGAAAAGAAAUUAUUUGUACUUCCAGUCAUGAGCUUCGAGCAGUCGCUAUCCAUGUACCACUGUUGACUGCUCCCUUUCACUGUUCACUGCACACUAAAUCUAUGAUUAGACUUAGGAACCCAAGCCAGAUUGGGACCCUUAUAAUAAUAGAACGGGUAGAUCAGACUUCAUUUCCCAUGCAGACAACACAUAUUUUCUUUUCAGGGAACCAGGUUCCUCAUUAGUAUGCCUCUUUUUAACAAAAACUUUAUUUUUCUGUAAAGAUUGUAUUUUAACUUUACAAGAGUCCUUGUAAUGACCAGUUUGACCACAGUGAGUGCAUAACCUAUUAUCAGCCACAAUUACAUACUUCCCAUGGGGAUUAUAGGAGGUUUUAGCCUUUUGGAACUCGAUGCCUUGCCUGUUUCCACCAUUACUCUUGUACAUAGGCGUUAUUACAUCAGAGGACCGGGUCCAUUUAAGCGACUUAUCAAGAUCAUUUUAAACCUUUUUUAAAUCCUCCUGAAGUUGUCUAUUCUUUUCAAGCUCAACAACAAGAUUUAUUUUAACUUUCUUAAGCUCACUCUGAAGCUCAAGUUGAGCCUUACUAGCCACUUCCUCUCCCUCAGUGUUGUCCAUCCAUUUUUUUGUUUGUUUUUUCAACAAGUUAUGUUCUCUAGUUACUUCUUCCACUUGUUCCCUUAAAUCAACAAUGGAAACUACCAUAUCAUCUAGUUCUUGCUCAGUAGCUACAAUUUUCUCUACUAGAGUAUUCUUUUCUAUGCUAAGGUUCUCUAUGGUUUCCUUCAAGUCAACAACCACUACCAUCAAAUCAUCUCUAGAUUAUUCAGCAUCUCCUAGCUCUAUGAUUAGGGCAUCUUUAUCAUUAACAAAACUAUAAUAUGUAUCAAUUAGAACAUUUGCUAAUGCCAUCCGUUUUUUCGAAGAGUAGGACUUCAUAUUUCUCUAAACAUCCCUAAAAUUUAC
rnacentral:lncRNA from 1 species